GCAAGUCUUGCUGAAAGUUAACAUCAGGACACAUCUGAAGGAGAUGAGCUGUGAGUCAGGCCAGCUCCCUGGGGAAAAGAGAGGCCUACAGAGCAUCUUUGCUGAAAUAAGUCUAAGGGGCCCAAAGAAGAAAUGAGAGACUAGCAAGAGACUGUUGCAAUAAUCCAGCUGAAACUGAAUACCAAGGAAUUUAAAAUGUGACUAAGAAGAAAUUGUGGGAAAUUGUUUCUAAAUAUCACAAUCAGUUUUCUGUACCAGCAGCAGACCUUCAUUUUGGAACAGAUUGUUUAUUUUCUAAUCUCCAGAAUGAUCGUUCUGUUACAUAAAUGUAAAGAAAUAUUCAUCUAUUACAUCUGUGCUGCCAUCUUAAGCUAAAUGUAGAUAAUAAAUUUUUUGGAAUGUG